rnacentral:lncRNA from 1 species
UGGUAAAUACGGAAGAUAUGAUGUAUGGAAACUUUAUAUGCGUGAUGUAUGUCAGGGGCGACACAACCUGGCUCACUUUUAGUUUUGAGCGGUCCUUAACAUGGCCAAAUUGGUGUUCUGUAGUAGGUGGGUAUCGGGUGCUUACCACACCCGAGCACGGUUUGUGCAUUUUUGCGUAUUUGUGGCUACGCAGUUUGGUCGGUUUGGUGUGGAGAGCCAGCAGUCACCCAUUUUCAGGGGCUGUUUUUUUGUUUCGGGCUCUCAUUUUUGGGCCAUAUCGACCGCGGUACACCGAUUGGUGGUACCUUUUUGUGAUUAUCGUGCUGGCGGGUUCAACGGCCAUUUUUCGGCGUUGGAACGACACACGGAGUUUGUUGCCACGUCUUUACUCGACUUCGUAGGAAGAAGGGUAAUGUUUUGUUUAGCCUACUACAGACAUGCAAUUGUUUUGAAUUUUUUUUGAGUUUACUACAGACAUGCAAUUGUUUUAUAUUUUUUUGUUUAGCUUCAGCCAAAUGGUUGUAGGUAUGGUUUUGGUUUUGAUUUAUUUUUUUGCCAGGGUUAGGUGAGAACCUCACCUACUGUUGGGGGUUGAGUGCAACUUUGAAUUUUUUUAGAUUUUGGGGUCUCGUCGUCAACGUAUUUAAUUUUUUUGGUAUUUUGAGGGAGAGUUGGCACAGAUUGGUGUGGCCAAUUCAACCAGGCAUAGUUUUUUUGGUUCAGUUUGUUUUUUUUUAGUUUGUUCACCUGAAGGGUUGAGACAAGCAGGUGUCGUCAACCUGUAGGGCUGUAACAAUGAUUUUGGUUUGGUUUUGGAAGUUAUAGUCGGAAGCCUAUAACUUUGGUUUCGCCCGGUCUAGCUGAGUUUUUUCUUGGAAUGCUGAACAUCGGUCCUGGCGGUUGGUUUUUUGGCUUUCUCAGCACAACAAGCUUUAUUGCAAGUUGCACUGAGAAGGCCAACGGUUGGUUUACUGUUUUGGAAAUUAGCGGAGGUUUUUUUCUAUAUGCAGCGCAGUUGGCCGCAUAGUUUUUUUCACCCUCCGAGGGUUGACGCGGGUUCGAGAUUUUUUUAAUAUUUUUUUUUGUGGUCAAACAGUAGUUUGCUUGUUUUUAAAUACCUUUUGGUAUAAUUUUGUAGAUAUUGGGGGAUUUUUUUUUGAGAUUUUACAGUCUCGAACUUGCGUCAGGUUUUUUUGAUUCUGAUAUUUUUUUGGUAGGUUUAGUUUUCUUGCCUUCAGAUUUUGUUUUUUUUUUAUGAAAGUCGCUGAGGACAGCGAGCGGUUCACCUACGUUGAACCUUAAAUCGGGAAGGGGGGUAUUGUAACGUAGCAGAUUUUUUGAUAGUCGUAAUUAAAUAUUUUGGAUAGAUUUAAUUUUUGAAUGAAACACUUCCUUCUCGUUCAUUGCAUUAUCUGUUGCACUUCAAAUGCACAUAUUUAUGUUUAUCUGUUGUAGGGUUGCCAUACAACAAGUAUUAUUCGAAAUUGUAGGUAUUUUGGCUGUCAUUCCAGGAAAACUUUGUAUAGUUUUGAUAUACUUUAAGUAUUGAUUUUUGGAAAAUAUAAUAUUUUAGAGACAUGAUAACAAAUGUUAUCAUAGGUUUUUUAAGGCUGUUCUGGAAUGAUAUUUGUUAGGUUUUGUUUACUUCAAGGUCUGAUACAGAAACUGGAGUAAUUUUCAUUUAAUGAAUUAGAGUAUUUUAUUGUUUAUUCGUUUGCCACCCGGCUUUUGUUUUGGGUCCUUUAAAUUCGAGAUCAUUCAGUGCGCCGUUCUUUCUGUGACGAGAUCCUCUUGUAUAGUGAUCGGACGGCCGUAUAAGGGCCUGGAGCCCGGCAUGCCACGUGCUGCCGUGGCGUUCCAUAUUUUGUGUGGUGCGUUCUGUCAGUCUGACUGGCAGAAACAUGCUAAGGGUGGGAGUGCUCCUUGGAGAUCCUCGGUCUGCAGUCUGCAGGUCUCCGGAGUCGGGAAGAAGUAAAGAAUUAGAGAAUUGCAGAAGUAGAAUUUAACAAGAACUUUUACAAUUUUGAUGUGCAAGGAAACUUUCUUGGGCGUUACUGGCGCAAGGUGCCUUUGGACCUUGUUUUCGUAUGGAAGGGUCAGCCCUGUCCACGUGGCGAGGGGGCGUCAGCACCGGAGUCCGGGGAGCAGCCGGCUCAUCCCUGACAAGGUGUGUCUCCUGCCCGUUUCCUGCCGGUAGUGCUGUGUAAUUCAGGUUUUAAUUUCUGUGUAAAGUAAUUUCUGAUUUCAUUUAUUUUGAGAAUUCUGGUGCAUAACUUUAGGUAAAUUCAUAUUUAGUUUUUGUAGAAUAAAUGGUUGUAAGAAACCUUUUCCUGGACCCUCUUAAAGCGGCCCAGCUUUACCACUGAGCGUAGUUCUUAUUUCAUAUAUGGUGUCAAAUUUAGUAUUUUAGAAACAUUAACUUAAACCUAUCUGUAAGGCAAGAUUUUGGUAUAAUAAAUAUAUAAAAUGU